CUUUCAUUCAGGCAUCUCCUGCUGCUGACUCUAGAACUCAUCUCUCUCCUCUCAUUCAGAUCAACAUGAAGAUCUAUAUCCUUGUUCUGCUGCUCUCUGCUGCUCUGCUGUUCGUGGGACCAGAAACUGCUGAUGCAACAUCGAUUAUCAUCAAGAUUAAGAAUUAUAAGAAGACUGGCCGUAAUAAAGGUUCGCCAGCACCUGCAGCACCUGCAGAACCUGCAGCACCUGCAGAACCUGCAGCACCUGCAGCCCCUGGUUGUCCAACCUGAUGAAUCAGAGUAAUCUGUUACUACCUGAUGAAUAAAACACAUGUGACAGUUUA